rnacentral:tRNA from 1 species
GUGGAUAGCUUAAUGGUAGAGCACUUACCUACCAUGUAUGAGUCCCUGGAUUCAAUUUCCAGCACA